rnacentral:rRNA from 1 species
GACGUAGGGCGCGAGCGUUGUCCGGAUUUAUUGGGCGUAAAGAGCUCGUAGGCGGCUUGUCGCGUCGUUCGUGAAAACCCGGGGCUCAACUCCGGGCUUGCGGGCGAUACGGGCAGGCUAGAGUUCGGUAGGGGAGUCUGGAAUUCCUGGUGUAGCGGUGAAAUGCGCAGAUAUCAGGAGGAACACCGGUGGCGAAGGCGGGUCUCUGGGCCGAUACUGACGCUGAGGAGCGAAAGCGUGGGGAGCGAACAGG